AGUCGGAUCCUCUCGGUCACUCGUCGUUCGACUAAAGUAGUCACGAACCGAGUCUCAGCUCAGAGAAGCCGGCUUUCGAACUGAUCUUUGCCCAAUUAAUGGUAAUGGGCCUUCUGUUCGCUGAGCUUUAUGGAUGGUUACAAUCCAUCCCCAACAAACACCAACCAGAGACGUUACAAGACAUUGUGUUGACGAGAAGAACGGUUUCUCAGACUUUGUCGAAGACGGAGGUGGUAGAAAAAGCUUGACGAAAGCGUGGCCGUUCGGUUGAGAUGCAGGAAGCAUGGUCGUGGUGUGGUUUAUGCGGCGGAGACUGAAGAACAUGGUUUACUGGUGGAAGAUCGGAGAUUGAUGGAGUUGGUUCAGAAUCAAGUUGACGGCAGUGAAGUAGAUAGGGUUAAUUUUGUGUUUUAGGUUUAGAUUUCGAAACUGGUUUAUCUGUAAACCAGGUUUAAUAACUAAACCGGUUUCAUUUGUAAACAAUUUUUUUAAUAAUAUACUAAUUUUAUUUAAA